rnacentral:misc_RNA from 1 species
GAUGAAGAACGUAGCGAAAUGCGAUAAGUAAUGUGAUUUGCAGAAUUCAGUGAAUCAUCGAAUCUUUGAACGCACAUUGCGCCCGCCAGUAUUCUGGCGGGCAUGCCUGUUCGAGCGUCAUUACAACCCUCAGGCCCCCGGGCCUGGCGUUGGGGAUCGGCGGAGCCCCCCGUGGGCACACGCCGUCCCCCAAAUGCAGUGGCGGUCCCGCCGCAGCUUCCAUCGCGUAGUAGCUAACACCUCGCGACUGGAGAGCGGCGCGGCCACGCCGUAAAACACCCAACUCUUCUGAAGUUGACCUCGAAUCAGGUAGGAAUACCCGCUGAACUUAAGCAUAUCAAUAAGCGGAGGA